rnacentral:tRNA from 1 species
GGGCCCGUGACUCAGUCUGGUAGACGUGAAAAGCGGCCAAAAGUACCCGGCUCUUAACCGGGCAGUCGAGGGUUCGAAUCCCUCCGGGCCCG